AUUGAACGCUGGCGGCAGGCUUAACACAUGCAAGUCGAGCGGAGCGAGGGUGCUUGCACCUUAGCUUAGCGGCGGACGGGUGAGUAAUGCUUAGGGAUCUGCCUAUUAGUGGGGGACAACAUUCCGAAAGGAAUGCUAAUACCGCAUACGCCCUACGGGGGAAAGCAGGGGAUCUUCGGACCUUGCGCUAAUAGAUGAGCCUAAGUCGGAUUAGCUAGUUGGUGGGGUAAAGGCCUACCAAGGCGACGAUCUGUAGCGGGUCUGAGAGGAUGAUCCGCCACACUGGGACUGAGACACGGCCCAGACUCCUACGGGAGGCAGCAGUGGGGAAUAUUGGACAAUGGGCGGAAGCCUGAUCCAGCCAUGCCGCGUGUGUGAAGAAGGCCUUUUGGUUGUAAAGCACUUUAAGCGAGGAGGAGGCUACUUAGAUUAAUACUCUGGGAUAGUGGACGUUACUCGCAGAACAAGCACCGGCUAACUCUGUGCCAGCCGCCGCAGUAA
rnacentral:rRNA from 1 species